CGCAUGCUCUCGUAGGCAUGUUAAGAAUUUUGGAUUUUAUCCUUAGAACAAUGAGAACCUUCUGAAGGUUUUAAGCACCAGUGUAGCUGGAGGGUGGAGGGUGGGGCGGGGGGUGGAGAAGAAAUUGGAGGAAGAGCAUGUGGAGAAUAUAUGAGACUAGUGUUCAGAACCGUUUGGACCUGGAGACGAAGACAGAGAACUAACUGGCCGGGAGAAAGAAGGUCUAACCCAGGGCCUGGCUGAGAUUCCGCUGGCAAAGACUGGGCAGAGACAGGACUCUUGUGAGAUAGAGUGCAAUCAGCAACGAAAGCUGAGGGGAGAGAGCCAGGGGCCUGGGAAACCAUCAGGAAGUUAUCAUCUUCGAUGAGAAGCAAGAUCACUUCCCUUUAGAAAUACCCAAGGCCCAAUUAAAGCAAAUCUACCUACUCGCAAAGAAGUAUUCAAACUGAAUCCCCGCAAAGAACAGAACAGCCUGGUUUUAAAAAAAGAGAACCUAAGGGAAGAGAGUCUUCUUUGCCAAGUAAACUCUCCGCCUCAGCCUGGGCCCCGCUGGUUACAGAAAUGACAUUAGACACACACACAAUGGUAAUACCACUCAAGAACGGCUGCAUUUAAUACCUGUCUCCACGGAGCUCAAAUUCACUUUUACGGCCUGUUUGUGGGCAAGAAGGAGGAUUCGAGCGAUGGUUACUUCCUCUAAGAGCUUUUCUAUUGCUUCACGCCCCAAAUUAACAGGCUCCAUACAGCCUCCCUCCCAGCGCCCCAGGACCCACUAAACAGACAAAGACCACACUGACUCCAGCCCAGCGUCUCCAGCACUGCAGGCAGUGUGUUGCCAGUAGGUCAGGCUAAGUUUGGAAAAGUCGAGAUUUCCCAGGGCAGGGGGUCAGGGGUGGGGGUGGGGGGGUGGAGGUCGGGUAGCCUUUUCAAGGGAGGCUGCAGCCUUGCUUUCUGAAGAUCACUGGCCCAAUGCAAAUAGUUUCUUUCAGCCGUUCCAGGAGCUUGCACGAGCCACUUCACAGUACUUUUCCAACUCCUGAAAGAAAGAAGGCAUUAGGCCUGAUUACAAUUCCCAAAAGCUGUGUGUACUCUGAUAAUCUGGAUCCACCCUGCACUGCCUGCAAACCAGCUGCAUGUGUGUCUGAUGUGGAGUGGGGUGGGGCGGCACACCCGCUCACACUGGUGAUGGACUUUUCUUUCUCUUGGAUUCAUCUGACCCAUUUUUUCCUUCCCACUGACAAUGGUGCAGCAUGCAGGAUCUGAGUUCCCUUACCAGGGAUCAAACCCAUACCAUCUGCAGUGGAAGGAUGGAACUGUAACCACCAGACCACCAGGGAAUUCCCUGAUUGUUCUACGUUGAUAAAACUCAUGUUAUUGAGAAGAAAGAAAAAAAAAAGAACUUUGUUGUUGUCUACUCUUCAUGCUUCUGGAAUACCCUGCUCACUCCCACCUUCCUUCCCCCUCUCCCAACAAGGGAUGGGAACUCUGUUUGCAUAUUUUAUUAUUAUUUCACGUCAUUGGAAUGAGAGUCUCAGCAAACACACUUUCUCUUGUGGAAUUCCCUAAUAAAAACAGACAGCUUGUUUUGAACAAGCAGCCUCUGGAACAGGAGAAGCAGCAGAAGCUGGUGCAGGAGCUGACUGGGUUUUUCCUCUUGCCUCACAGAUGUCUUUAUCAUCUGAAUAUACACUCCCAGCCCCCAGGGCCAUGAGAGAACUUACAAAGCAAGUUUUCAAAAAUAUUUAUUAUUUAUUUGGCUAUGCUGGGUCUUAGUUGUGGCAUGUGGGAUCUAGUUCCCUGACCAGUGAUUGAACCCGAGUCCCCUGCAUUGGGAGCAUGGAGUCUUAGCCACAGGACCAUUAGGGAAGUCCGUAUAAAGCAAUUUUGGAUUCUUUGAAAUAGAGGGACUUAAUUUGUCACAUGGUUUUGACAAUUUCUUGCUUCAAGUACCAUUUCCUACAACAGGAUAGCAUCAAUUUGUGCAGAGUCCUACAUGGACCUGAAAUUUAACUGAGAAAGGCACCCAGUCCUGACGACUCUUGUUAACCAGCAGUGUUCUCGUGGCUACCAGCUUGCAGAGAAACCCAAGGACAUGCCAGAUUUACCUCCUCCCGGAGGAAGUGGUUGAGAAAUCCAUCUUCUUUUCAUUAUGAUGAGGGAAUGAGAAACAUGCCGUCCUGAAGAAGUACUAGGGGGACUUCUGUGUCUCCCCAGCACCAUCCCGAGGGCAAGGUGAACACAGCAGUGAUCGACGGCAGUGGUGGAGACCUGCUGUCAGCUUAUCUGUCUACCAGCUCCUGUGAAAGCAAGCCAAAGAACAAGCCAUAAGUCUACGAGCCAUUCAUGAACUCCUUUCUGCUUUGAAAAUGUAGUUCAUGCUUUCUAACUGUCAUUAUUAUGACAUGGAUGAGGCUUCCCUCAUAGCUCAGUCAGUAAAGAAUCUGCCUGCAGUGCAGGAGACCGGGGUUUGAUUCCUAGGUUGGGAAGAUCCCCUGGAGAAGGAAAUGGCAGCCCACUCCAGUAUUCUUGCCUGGAGAAUCCCAUAGACAGAGGAGUCUGGCAGGCUACAGUCCAUGGGGUCGCAGGAGUUGGACACGACUUAGAGACUAAACCAUCAACCGUGACAUGAAUGCUCAUUGAAUACUGGCUCUUGAUGAUUACAAUGACCUUGUCCUUGGGCAUACUGGAAGCAGGACAUGGCCUUCCUCCUUCCAUCCUCAUCUCUUCCCAGUCCCAGAAAUCACACAAUCAAUAACGGUCAUCUGUUGCUAAGAACUUAAGCUGUGAACUUUCUUGGGAGAUAUUUGUACUUUAAUUGUAAACCUAAUAAUGCCUUCGAGAAGCAGAGGAAUGAUGCUACCCAAUGGAUCACAGACACUCAUAGAAGCAAGGAGGCAAUCUGACUGAGGAGACCUCUCUGGAGCUCUUCAAUGCUCCCAACAGGUCCACCCUGAUGGUACACAUUUAUAUGAGAAAACACUGUAGCUGUCACUAAUUCCUUUCCUGUUGACACCUUGACCUGAGCUGUUAUUUAACUGCAAAGUACACUUGGUGGUAAACUGUAUAUAUUUCCUCAGUUGCUGUGAAUUCUGACUCAAGCUAAUUCAGGCUAGCUUAAUGAAACAAGAACCAGGAAAGCAAAAGCUUUCUGGCAGUUGCCUUGUGUACUGAUGUAGAGCUUGGGCCUCCCUGGUGGCUCAGCUGGUAAAGAAUCCGCUUGCAAUGCGGGAGACCUGGGUUUGAUCCCUGGCUUGGGAAGAUCCCCUGGAGAAGGGAAAGGCUACCCACUCCAGCAUUCUGGCCUGGAGAAUUCCAUGGACUGUGUAGUCCAUGGGGUCGUAAAGAGAUGCCCACGACUAAGUGACUUUCACUUUCACAGAGGGCAACUGAUGCAAUAUGAACUCAGGGAAUUCCCACAUGGAGAGAAGCAGAUGAGGGCUGCCCAGAUGUAAAGGGAACAUGAAAGGUAACGUUGAAAGGAAUAUAAUAUGAGCUCAAUGCCUGAGUUCCAUAUAAAAUGUGAAGACAUAUACAGAAACCUAAUGUCUUUCCUUUUCCAUAACUGGACUCAACUUGGUGUACCAGCCCCCAUUUCCAGUUUGCAGUUGUAUUCGUUCCCGAGGGCUGCCCUGGGAAAAUGUCCACACACUGGGUGGUUUUAAACAACAGAAACUUACGUCCCAUGGUUCUAGGGGCCGGAAGCCUGAAAUGAGUGUCCACAGGGCCAGGCCUCUGUGAAGGCUCAAGGAGAGAAUCUCUUUCACACUGGUAGCUUCUGGUGUUUCCAGAAAUCCUCAGAGUUGCUUGGCUUGCAGAUACAUCACUCCCAUCUCUGCCUCUGUCAUCAUGCGGCGUCUCUUAUUGGGUCUCUGUCUCUGUUCUCCUGUAUUUUUUUAUUUUUUUUGCCCCACCGUAUUCAGGCUUCCCAGGUGGCUCAGUGAAUGGUAAAGAGUCCACCUUCUAAUGCAGGAGGCGAGUGUUCGAUUCCUGGAUCAGGAAGAUCCCCUGGAGUAGGAAAUGGCAACCCACUCCAGUGUUCUUGCCUGGAAAAUUUCAUGGACAGAGGAGCCUGGCGGGCUACAGUUCAUGGAGCUGCAGAGAGUCAGAUACAACUGAGUGACUGAGCAUAGCAAGCAGGGAUGGAACCUGUGUCCUCUGCAGUGGAAACCUGGAGUCCAAACCCCUGGACCACCAGAGAACUCCCCCUCUUCUCCUCUUCUUAAAGAGACAUCAGUCAUAUUGGGUUAGGGCCGCCUCUAAUGACCUUAUCUCAGCUUGACUACCUCUGCAAAGACUCUCUUUCCAAUAAGGGCACAUUCGUAGGUACCAGCCCUUCAACAUACCUUUUAAGGAGACGUGAUUCAAUCCAGAACAGUCAUGGAAAAGGAAAUCUCACCCCUCCCAAGAAAUGUAGUCCCUUCCAGUUUAAAAAACCUUCCCAUAUUUUGUCUGUUUCAGAGUUUCCCCCGUUCUGAUCCCUUUUCUUCUCUCUGGAGGAGGCUGGGCGUGGGUCGGGCCAGGUGAGAAGCAGGUUGGAGCCCGCCUGGGUGAGGCAUGCUGGCCCCAGUCUUCCGCAGGUCCCUCUUGCCUGGACCUAGUGGACCUUGGUCUUUGUUGCAGAUACUGCCAUCCUGUCCCACCCUGGGCCCGCAUUGUUAGGACUCCACAGGCUGUGUCCUCCUUCUCUCAACUGGGAGGCCUCCUGUCUGCAGGGCUGUUUUCAGCCUGGCUCUAAGCCUUGCAGACACAAAGAUGAACAGACAGAUUUGGGAAGGUUCCCCCCUCACCCCCCACUGCGCUUGGAACCUCUGGGGCACAUGGGACUGAAGAGCUGACCUCUGUCAGUCUAGCACUGGCCUUCAUUUAUUUUCAGUUCACUGUUCCACUCACUGGCAGGGGGCUUCCAAAAGUUUCUGUGGACUGAACCGGAUGGACACACUUUGAGAUCCCCAAGCUCUUAUCCCUGUCUCCAGGGACAAGGCCCGACGGUCAGAGGGCAGAACCUCACCCAGCACCGCACAUCCUCCCUUCAUCCCAGCUCAGCCCAGGAAAGGCUGUCUCUGCUCAGUGCUUGGGGCUGGCCUUCAGGCCACCAGACAUGCUUCUCAUUCUACAGUUUCCUUCGGAACUGCCCCCAAAUCAACAGUCUCAUCCUUGACUUAGGCUUCAGAAUAUAAAGGAACGGCUUAUACUAGACCAGCCCUUGUGAUGGCCAAAAAAAAAAAAAUAAAGCUAGCAGGAUAUCCAGAUGAAACUUUAUGCACACACAC
ensembl:lncRNA